UCCCAAACUACACCGAGAUUUGGAAUAUUACGUUAUAGUCCUACAGGAAGAUGGCGACUGUCAUUCAUAAUCCUUUGAAAUCACUUGGUGACCAGUUCUAUAAGGAGGCCAUUGAACACUGUCGGAACUACAAUGCCCGACUCUGUGCAGAGCGCAGCGUGCGCAUGCCUUUCUUGGACUCACAAACUGGUGUGGCACAGAACAACUGUUACAUCUGGAUGGAGAAGCACCAACGCCAGCCAGGCCAGGCAGCAGGACAGAUGUAUACCUACCCCGCUCGUUGCUGGAGAAAGAAGAGGCGUCUCCACCCUCCCCUGGAUCCCCAGCUCCGCCUGUGUGAGCUACGACUAGAAACAGAACUGGCCCCAAAGCGUGAGGGGGCACCGGGGGAGGCCACAGCCUUGGAGGCCCUACUGAGGGGGGACAGCCUGCUGGAGAAAAAAAACAACCUCAGUAAGGAAGAGGAGACACUGCUAGAAAUACAGAGAGUACUUGAGGCAGAGGAAAACGGGGAUGACUUCCAUGAUGAUGAAGACUUUGAACUCGAUACUCCGAAGAGAAAGAACAGAAACAGAGGCAAAAACAGAGGAUCAAGUCGCAGAAGGACAGAACCCGUAAACAUCGAGGACCAGGAUAAACCUUACGUCUGUGACAAUAAAUACAAACAAAAGUAUAACUCAAAAAAGGCUGAAGAAGUCUGUGGAAAGCGCUACAAGAACCGGCCUGGCCUGAGCUACCAUUACACACACACACAUCUGGCAGAGGAGGAGGGGGAAGAGGAAAAAGAACCAGAGAUGGCCCCAUCCUCUCCUCAGACUUCGGACAACCAUAAACCUCAGAAGGGCCCAGAUGGUGCCGUUAUUCCCAACGACUACUGUGACUUCUGCCUUGGAGACCAAGACUCCAACAGGAAAACAGGACAAGCAGAGGAGCUGGUGUCCUGCUCCGACUGCGGACGUUCUGCUGGAAGAGGAGGAGUGAAGAAGGAUGGGAGGAAGCGGAGCGCUCUUGAAGAAUUGUUCGGCAGCGCGUCAGACAGCGAGGCCUCCACGUUUCAUGGCUUUGAAGAUGCAGACCUGGAAGACAUUUUGUUUUCAGACAGCGAGGCUGUCGUUGACAGCUGAACCUUCUCCCGUUGAAGAUUUAAUUGAGGGAACAAUGAAAGACUCAAAAGGCACAUGGACUGCAGAAAAUCACAGUGAACACACUUUUGGAAAGUGUCUUGAAAAGAAUGUAGGAUAUAUAUUCACACAUGCUUCUGCUUGGGAGUUUUGUUUCUCAUGGACACAGUAAUAUAUUUUUUUGACCAUGUUCAUGGAUUUUUCAACAGUUAAGACAUAUUCCAUUUUUCAUAAACCAAAAAAAAAAAAAAAUGUCCUUACAUUUGACUUUGCUUGCAUCAGAUAAUCAACAUUUCAAACUAUACAUUGUUGCUACAUCCAAAUUAAAUCUGGACUGAAAAGGUUUUCCUUCGCAAAAUAAACACGUGGCACGGGGAGGGAUGCGCAUGGACUCUCGAGUCACUCCACUAGCUAAAGAGGACAGGGAGCAGAGAGGUCAUCCUACAUGUCUGCAGUUCACUGAGAACAUGAUGCAGGCAGUCAGGACAUACCAGUGGCAGUGCAUCGAGUGCAAGUCUUGCAGCCUUUGUGGCACCUCAGAGAACGAUGACCAGCUGCUGUUCUGUGAUGAC